UACGAAGGGUGCAAGCGUUACUCGGAAUUACUGGGCGUAAAGCGUGCGUAGGCGGUCUGUCGCGUCUGCUGUGAAAACCUGGGGCUUAACCCCGGGCCUGCAGUGGGUACGGGCAGACUAGAGUGUGGUAGGGGGGACUGGAAUUCCUGGUGUAGCGGUGAAAUGCGCAGAUAUCAGGAGGAACACCGGUGGCGAAGGCGGGUCUCUGGGCCAUAACUGACGCUGAGGAGCGAAAGCGUGGGGAGCGAACAGG
rnacentral:rRNA from 1 species